GUAUACAGAAAACAAACAGGUUAGCUCAUGUCACAUAGUGUCACCUAUAGUCCCGGUGACCCGGCCAGAAACAUAAUCAGAAUAUCGUGUGCACAUUCAGAACAGAAACCCAGUACUGGUCCAGACAGAUAUAUCGUAUAUUACGAUCAGAAUCAGAAUCAGAAUCAGAAUAACUAUGGACAAUGAGCCAAAACAUUAAGAAUCUCAUACAAUCAUCAAUAAUUGAAAUCAAACAUAGGUACAAAACAUUCGUAUCAGUUUCAUAAAAGUUCAU
rnacentral:lncRNA from 1 species